CGAAGGUGCCGUCCUUCCUCCCCAGCGGCAGCGUAUUUCACAAAGGGUAGACCUUAUUCUCCCAGAUGGGGCAGAUGAGACAGUCAGUCUCGCUUCCCAGCAGCAGGACAAUAUAUUGAAAGGGGAGACAGUCGGUCCCCCUCUCCACCAGCAGAGAGAGUGUCAGGGAGAGGAGCCUGUUACCCCCUCUCCCCAGCGGCUGAAAGUGUGUAAGGGAGAGGAGCUUGUUACCCC